GUCCUUCAGCAGGAGGUUGUCCAGGCAGAGUCCCAGUCUGAAGUGUCUCAGUAACACAGUGAAUGUUCCUCCAGUCCUUCAGCAGGAGGUUGUCCAGGCAGAGUCCCAGUCUGAAGUGUCUCAUUAACACAGUGAAUGUUCCUCUAGUCCUUCAGCAGGAGGUUGUCCAGGCAGAGUCCCAGUCUGAAGUGUCUCAGUAACACAGUGAAUGUUCCUCUAGUCCUUCAGCAGGAGGUUGUCCAGGCAGAGUCCCAGUCUGAAGUGUCUCAGUAACACAGUGAAUGUUCCUCUAGUCCUUCAGCAGGAGGUUGUCCAGGCAGAGUCCCAGUCUGAAGUGUCUCAGUAACACAGUGAAUGUUCCUCUAGUCCUUCAGCAGGAGGUUGUCCAGGCAGAGUCCCAGUCUGAAGUGUCUCAGUAACACAGUGAAUGUUCCUCUAGUCCUUCAGCAGGAGGUUGUCCAGGCAGAGUCCCAGUCUGAAGUGUCUCAGUAACACAGUGAAUGUUCCUCUAGUCCUUCAGCAGGAGGUUGUCCAGGCAGAGUCCCAGUCUGAAGUGUCUCAGUAACACAGUGAAUGUUCCUCUAGUCCUUCAGCAGGAGGUUGUCCAGGCAGAGUCCCAGUCUGAAGUGUCUCAGUAACACAGUGAAUGUUCCUCUAGUCCUUCAGCAGGAGGUUGUCCAGGCAGAGUCCCAGUCUGAAGUGUCUCAGUAACACAGUGAAUGUUUCUCUAGUCCUUCAGCAGGAGGUUGUCCAGGCAGAGUCCCAGUCUGAAGUGUCUCAGUAACACAGUGAAUGUUCCUCUAGUCCUUCAGCAGGAGGUUGUCCAGGCAGAGUCCCAGUCUGAAGUGUCUCAGUAACACAGUGAAUGUUCCUCUAGUCCUUCAGCAGGAGGUUGUCCAGGCAGAGUCCCAGUCUGAAGUGUCUCAGUAACACAGUGAAUGUUCCUCUAGUCCUUCAGCAGGAGGUUGUCCAGGCAGAGUCCCAGUCUGAAGUGUCUCAGUAACACAGUGAAUGUUCCUCUAGUCCUUCAGCAGGAGGUUGUCCAGGCAGAGUCCCAGUCUGAAGUGUCUCAUUAUCUUCCUCCCUGCUUCCCCGACGCCGACACACCUCAACACGUCUACCUGUUUGACGACAGUAUCCUUCACCUGGACUGUGUGUGACCAGGUUAAUGUGUGUGACCAGGUUAAUGUGUGUGACCAGGUUAAUGUGUGUGACCAGGUUAAUGUGUGUGACCAGGUUAAUGUGUGUGACCAGGUUAAUGUGUGUGACCAGGUUAAUGUGUCACCAGGUUAAUGUGUGACCAGGUUAAUGUGUGUGUGUGACCAGGUUAAUGUGUGUGACCAGGUUCAUGUGUGUGUGUGUGUGUGACCAGGUUAAUGUGUGACCAGGUUAAUGUGUGACCAGGUUAAUGUGUGUGUGUGACCAGGUUAAUGUGUCACCAGGUUAAUGUGUGACCAGGUUAAUGUGUGUGUGUGACCAGGUUAAUGUGUGUGACCAGGUUCAUGUGUGUGUGUGUGUGUGUGUGUGUGACCAGGUUAAUGUGUGACCAGGUUAAUGUGUGACCAGGUUAAUGUGUGUGUGUGACCAGGUUAAUGUGUGACCAGGUUAAUGUGUGACCAGGUUAAUGUGUGUGUGUGACCAGGUUAAUGUGUGUGACCAGGUUCAUGUGUGUGUGUGUGUGUGUGUGACCAGGUUAAUGUGUGUGUGUGUGACCAGGUUAAUGUGUGUGACCAGGUUCAUGUGUGUAUGUGUGACCAGGUUAAUGUGUGUGUGUGACCAGGUUAAUGUGUGUGUGUGUGACCAGGUUAAUGUGUGUGACCAGGUUAACGUGUGUGUGUGUGACCAGGUUAAUGUGUGUGUGUCCUUACCUGAGUCCCAGUCCUGUCUCCGGUGGAGUACGAUGUUAAUGUGUGUGACCAGGUUAAUGUGUGUGUGUGACCAGGUUAAUGUGUGACCAGGUUAAUGUGUGUGUGUCCUUACCUGAGUCCCAGUCCUGUCUCCGGUGGAGUACGAUGUUAAUGUGUGUGACCAGGUUAAUGUGUGACCAGGUUAAUGUGUGUGUGUCCUUACCUGAGUCCCAGUCCUGUCUCCGGUGGAGUACGAUGUUAAUGUGUGUGACCAGGUUAACGUGUGACCAGGUUAAUGUGUGACCAGGUUAAUGUGUGUGUGUCCUUACCUGAGUCCCAGUCCUGUCUCCGGUGGAGUACGAUGUUAAUGUGUGUGACCAGGUUAACGUGUGACCAGGUUAAUGUGUGUGUGUCCUUACCUGAGUCCCAGUCCUGUCUCCGGUGGAGUACGAUGUUAAUGUGUGUGACCAGGUUAAUGUGUGUGUGUGACCAGGUUAAUGUGUGACCAGGUUAAUGUGUGUGUGUCCUUACCUGAGUCCCAGUCCUGUCUCCGGUGGAGUACGAUGUUAAUGUGUGUGACCAGGUUAAUGUGUGUGUGUCCUUACCUGAGUCCCAGUCCUGUCUCCGGUGGAGUACGAUGUUAAUGUGUGUGACCAGGUUAAUGUGUGUGUGUGACCAGGUUAAUGUGUGACCAGGUUAAUGUGUGUGUGUCCUUACCUGAGUCCCAGUCCUGUCUCCGGUGGAGUACGAUGUUAAUGUGUGUGACCAGGUUAAUGUGUGUGUGUCCUUACCUGAGUCCCAGUCCUGUCUCCGGUGGAGUACGAUGUUAAUGUGUGUGACCAGGUUAAUGUGUGUGUGUCCUUACCUGAGUCCCAGUCCU